GGCUAGAACACCAGGGCAAGGGAGACGUGGCUUCCAGUCUCUGCUCCACCACAAACUCCUCCAAGACCUUGGGCGCAUUACAAGUGAAGAAAAAUGGACUGAGAUGGAUGUCUAGAAACAAUGAGUCUACACCCACCACCUCAGUAGUACAGUUGCCUAAGAAGGCAGAAGGUGGCAGGAUCCAGAUGACCAAAGCCAGCGAUGGACUGAUGAACUCCGACCGUGGACAGCAAAUGAAAUGGACAGUAAUCAGAGAGGGGAGGUCUGAUGUCCUAUAAACUCCUGUCCGCAUCCUCCCCUGGCAAGAUCUCAGUUCAGAGAUACAGCCUUCGAAGCUGAGGUUCCCUUCUGAAUCAUCACAGGAUCGUGUGCCACUGU